GUCAGUGGUUAAACUUACAGCACAGUCCAUGCUCAUAGGUUCACACAUUUCAAAUCAAAACGAAGUAGUCUAACAAUAGAAUAUAUAAAUCAUCUCAGUUACAUUAAUAUUUACAUUAAAAAUAUCCAUACAAAUAGACUCAGCCUGAUACCAAUGAAAUACCAAAGAUAAAUAAUCUAAAGGCAAAUAAUCUAAGGACAGAGCAAGACAGCAACCAAUUCAACAAACUUAAAAAACACCUACUAUAUGGAAAAGACUGUGCUAGGGUUCUGCACUAUCUCAUGAAUGGGGAAGAGGUGGGAUGAGGUGCAGACAGUACUUGGAAAAAGUCUGAUUAUUUCAAGUGGUCUCUUUAUUAAGGAAGGAGGUAAAAGGAACAUAACCUGAGCGCAAUAAAAAUCUAGUUUCAUAUAAAACUAGUAUUAUACAAAAUUCAGUUUCUAAUGAUCACUGUCCAUCAGCAACUUACAAUCAAAUAAAAGACAGAUCAAAGUAUAAGAAAAUUGUAGACGGUAAUAUUUUCCUAAUGACCUAGUCUCCCAUCUUGGUUUAAAUAUGAGAAAUUCUAGUAGAUAGUGGGGAUAGAGCUAAAUAAACGAAAACGUAAGGAAGUUAGAGAACGGGGACAAAGACUUAAAGAUUUUUCAACGUAAGCACUAUUUCUCCUCAACCUUGUUCAGUUUUUAAUGGAUCAUCUUAUAGAACGUUUCCAUUAUUGCAAAAAAGUUAUUGGACUGCCCGACUCUAGAGCCUACCUGCUCAGGAGUCCUGGCAAGCCUUCAGAAACUAAUUAUUCCACCCAAAAUUCAGUGCUAACUUGUUCCUAGGGCAAGUGGAUUAUAACUACUGGAACAGUGCAACUUUUUAAGAGUGGGGCUUCAGAUGGAAGAAUAAAAGGAAACAAGGAACAUGGUUACUAAAAGUAAUGAAAGAGGAAAUCUAUCAGAAAGAGGUUGAAAGGAACUGGGAAACUGAAGUGAGACUCGUGGUCAAUAGGAGUUAAAAAUAUUUAUGUACAUUCAUACAUACAUAUAUGUUUGUCUAAAUGUUUAACAAUUUAUAAAGCUGAAAACUCAUUUAGUUCUCCCCCCUCCCCUACACACCAAAUACAUUGUGAAAUAAGGAAUAAAGACAUAAUCAAAGAUAUGCCUAACAUGGGGUAGACUGUACUCUUGUAACACUUUAGGACCUCACUGCUUAUAACUGAAAAUAUUUAAAUGUGAAUAAUCCCUGAGGGGUUUGUCAUAACUGUAAAAAAAAACUAGACCUUGUAUAAGCCCCCCAAAAUUAAAUCCAAUCAUGUAUGAAGGAAAUAAGGGACAAUCUACACUUGCCUUUCAUGGAUGGGAAUCUGGCUACAUAGUUCCACCUAAAGUAUCUUCUGUCACAGGAUAUAUCUACCAGAACAAUUUCUUAUUAUCUCUAAAGUGAAUUAGAGACAUAGCCUCCUGGAAAAAACAAAAAACUACUCUGCAACCAGGAUUUGGUAUGUUUUAUUAGAGCAAAUUUUUAACAAAAGGUGGCUUUCAUUUACAGA
rnacentral:lncRNA from 1 species